rnacentral:rRNA from 1 species
GACGUAGGGUGCAAGCGUUGUCCGGAUUUAUUGGGCGUAAAGAGCUCGUAGGCGGCUUGUUGCGUCGACUGUGAAAACCCGCGGCUUAACCGCGGGCUUGCAGUUGAUACGGGCAGGCUAGAGUUCGGUAGGGGAGACUGGAAUUCCUGGUGUAGCGGUGAAAUUCGUAGAUAUCUGGAGGAACACCGGUGGCGAAGGCGGCAUCCUGGACCAACACUGACGCUGAGGAGCGAAAGCCAGGGGAGCAAACGGG